CGGAUGCCGAUCUCGAAAACCUGUCCCAGUUCGGACUGGAGUCUGCAACCCGACUCCACGAAGUUGGAUUCGCUAGUAAUCGCGCAUCAGCCAUGGCGCGGUGAAUACGUUCCCGGGCCUUGUACACACCGCCCGUCAAGCCAUGGGAGCCGGGGGCGCCUGAAGUCCGGGACCGCGAGGACCGGCCUAAGGCGAAACUGGUGACUGGGGCUAAGUCGUAACAAGGUACC
rnacentral:rRNA from 1 species